CCGCCAGCCAUGCAUGACCGAGUGAAAUUAUCUUUCGAUUCCAGAGCAAGAUGAUUUGAGUCAUGAUACAUAUCUCCAUCUGGGACUGGAUUUCAUCGAGAUAGCCUUCCUUUUCUCUACAUGUCUUGUUCUCUCCUCCCCGACUUGCGGCUUUAGAGGGAGUGGAGAAAUAUGCGGCCGAUGGGAUAGAUAUAGUUGUCUCGGAUGAUUUUCUUGUUACAAACCAUGAUGGUUUUUUGCUGCUGGUAUUAGUUUUCUGUGGAGGAAUUCGGCAUGUCUCAAUUGAAUCUGGUGUUAUUCCGAGCUACAACACUGAUCCGUACGUGGUCCUUACUCACUUCGACGGACGCCACGGAGCGUUUGGUUACUGGAUCUGUCCGGUGGGAGACGGUAGCGCGGGAUAUCUUCAACCGGUUUGGAUGGCGAUCAUGUAAUAGGAUAGGCUUUUAGUUUACGUAUCUCUUUUUAUGCCAGCCGGUUGUGGCUUUUGGG